rnacentral:rRNA from 1 species
CCUACGGGUGGCUGCAGUGGGGAAUAUUGGACAAUGGGCGCAAGCCUGAUCCAGCCAUGCCGCGUGAGUGAUGAAGGCCCUAGGGUUGUAAAGCUCUUUCGCCAGGGACGAUAAUGACGGUACCUGGAUAAGAAGCCCCGGCUAACUUCGUGCCAGCAGCCGCGGUAAUACGAAGGGGGCUAGCGUUGUUCGGAAUCACUGGGCGUAAAGCGCACGUAGGCGGAUCUUUAAGUCAGAGGUGAAAUCCCAAGGCUCAACCUUGGAACUGCCUUUGAUACUGGGGAUCUUGAGUCCGGGAGAGGUGAGUGGAACUGCGAGUGUAGAGGUGAAAUUCGUAGAUAUUCGCAAGAACACCAGUGGCGAAGGCGGCUCACUGGCCCGGAACUGACGCUGAGGUGCGAAAGCGUGGGGAGCAAACAGGAUUAGAUACCCGAGUAGUC